GACGAACGCUGGCGGCGUGCCUAAUACAUGCAAGUUGAGCGCUGAAGGUUGGUACUUGUACCAACUGGAUGAGCAGCGAACGGGUGAGUAACGCGUGGGGAAUCUGCCUUUGAGCGGGGGACAACAUUGGGAAACGAAUGCUAAUACCGCAUAAAAACUUUAAACACAAGUUUUAAGUUUGAAAGAUGCAAUUGCAUCACUCAAAGAUGAUCCCGCGUUGUAUUAGCUAGUUGGUGAGGUAAAGGCUCACCAAGGCGAUGAUACAUAGCCGACCUGAGAGGGUGAUCGGCCACAUUGGGACUGAGACACGGCCCAAACUCCUACGGGAGGCAGCAGUAGGGGAUCUUCGGCAAUGGACGAAAGUCUGACCGAGCAACGCCGCGUGAGUGAAGAAGGUUUUCGGAUCGUAAAACUCUGUUGGUAGAGAAGAACGUUGGUGAGAGUGGAAAGCUCAUCAAGUGACGGUAACUACCCAGAAAGGGACGGCUAACUACGUG
rnacentral:rRNA from 1 species